AAAGUAUUUUCCUCUUUUUCAUUCUUUUUCCCAUUUCCUCCCAACCUUAUCUCCCUCUUUUUCAUGCUUCUAUCCUCACAACCCUCUCCUUUAACAAGCCCUAACAUGGCCUUCAAUCUAAGAAUCGUUUUUCUAUCUCCAAAUGCCCUCAGUAAGGCCUUCUCUUGCUUUCAAUUGAGGUGGAAACUUGAGAAGAGAAACAAUCGAUAAUGGUUUGAUCUAAAGAAGUGGUUGAAGGUAGCAACAAGAAGAGGAAAAGUAUCAAUCAAUGCUGUGCUAAGGUAACAAUAUCCUCCCGAUGUCUUUGUUGUAAGUUGGUUAUGUGUUCAACUUUGGAAAGAUGAAAUUUGUUCAUGGAAAAGGAGGUUGCCAAGGUAAAGAGCAGCACACGCUCGUAGGCUGCCAAAUGCCAAGAGUCAACAACAACAAAACAAAAAUCUACAAGGAAAAGGGACAUAAACAAAUAUCUCCAUUGGAAUGAAUAUACCAUCACUCUUUUCUAGUAAUACGGAAAAGACAAUAUAUACAUGCUAAAUUACAUUUACAAUUCGGAUUUGAUCUUUUUACUUUAAACAAGAACAUUUUGGUUAUAUUUCAUUUUCCAUAUGUUUUUAUUUUUGAUAUGUUUCAUUUAAAACUAUUUGAAUCUUUUAAUAUAUUUUUAAACUAUUUUUAUUA